UUGGCCACUAGUUUCUCACCCAGCAAUAAUUAGUAUAUCUGUAGAGCCUUUGAGUGUGGGUAGCCUGUGUUUUCUAUUCAACAGGACACAUGGAAGGCAAGGUUACUGUACUGGUUAAAUUAGGAUUCUUGCAUUUGAUAACUAUUAGGCAUGAGAACAAUGUACAUCUCUUGACUGCUAAAGGUUUGUGUUCCUCUAGUAAUUCUGACACUGCUCACCCUAUUCCUUCACUCCAGCUGGUAAGGGACGGUGGCCUAAGUUGUCCUCAGGAUUGGCUGCCAAGAAGGAAAUUCAUACCCACUUUAACAAGGUGUGAAGCUUAUCUUAGAGUCACUAAUGCCUCACUGACCUUUUGGAAAAGGCCCUGUCACUCAUGAAGUUGAGCAAUUUUUCUUCUUUAAGAGCUAAUUAAAUUUCUUACUCUGAUUUGUUCUCCUUGGCAAAUGUUUGGAAGGGCUGUAUCAGCAGCUGUGAUCCUGCACCUAUCAAAAUUUAUAACUUCCUAAAGAAGUUUUCAUUUUGGCGGAGAUCCUGGCCUUAAUACUAGGAAUGCCCUGUUGAAAGCUUGCAGUCGUGUUUAUUACAUUCAUUCUGGUUUCCUCUUGCCCUACUUGUCAAUGGUAAUUGACAUGUGUCAGAGCCUGUAUACUUUUUCUUUGAUAGGAUUCUUUGCUAGUUCAAUGUUAUUCCUCCUUAGAGUUUUAAUUACCUUUUGGUAACUUGUUAUUUGUGGGUUUUUUGUUUUGUUUUUUAAAAAACCUUAGAGAAUAAAUGCUAUGUGGGCUCAUUAUUUUACCUUUAUUUUACUUAUAACAUGGGAUGUGUGUGUGUGUGUUUACACACACAUUUUACUUAUAACACGGUGUGUGUGUGUGUGUGUGUGUGUGUGUGUGUGUGUGUGUGUGUUUACACACACGUUUGUUUGGAGACAGGGUCUCUUUAUUAUGUCCUGGAACUCACCUUAUAGACCAGGCUGGCUUCGAACUCGGAUCCACUGGCCAUUGCCUCCUAAGAUCCAGGAGUAAAUGGCUUUUGGGGGUGGUGGGGAGGGGUGGUAUAUACAAAGGUCAAAUAACUCAAUGGGAUUGGUUCUUUCCUCCCACUUUUAUGUGGGUUCCAGGGAUUGAAUCAAAGCUUGCCAAGCUUGUAGAGUAAGUGCCUUUACCUGAUCAGUCAUCUUGCUAGCUCCUAGGUAAUCUUUUAAAGAAAAGGUCUUGGUUGGUGAGAUGGCUCAGCGGUUAAGAGCACUGACUGCUCUUCCAAAGGUCCUGAGUUCAAAUCCAUCCCAGCAAUCACAUGGUGGCUCACAACCAUUUGUAAUGAGAUCUGACACCCUCUUCAGAUAGUAGUGUCUGAAGACAGCUACAGUGUACUUACAUAUAAUAAAUAAAUCUUUUUUAAAAAGAAAAGGUCUUUAUUAUGAAAAUGUUUUCAUUUUAAGCCAUAUAGCCUCUCGUCUCACGUGCCCCCCCCCCCAUGUAAAGCAAGGUCCACCUCCCAGAUUUAGUCAUUCAGGUUGGCAGGUUUUUGAUAAAAUUGCCACUGACAUUUAUCAGGACUUGGCCCUGGAAAGUGGGAGGGAGCUUAUGUGCAUAUGUGACAUGGGCAUUGCUGUAUGGAGGUCAGAGGACAACUUUGAGAAGUCGGUUAUCAGAUCCUUGCAUUGUGAGUGUGAAACUUGAACCCAGAUCAUCAGACUUGGAUAGCAAGUGCCUUUACCCACUCAUCCAUGGCACUUGCCCUCCUAGUUAGCUUUGAAUUCAGAUCAGCAAGUCCAACCUAUGCUCAUGGCACCUUUGGGGGCGUUUAAUGAUCCUUUUUCAGGGGUCAUUAAGAUCACCAGAAAACACAGGUAUUUACAUUACAAUUCAUAACAAAGCAAAAUUACAGUCAUGAAGUAGCAAUGACAAUAAUCUUAUGGUUGGUGGUCACCACAUGAGGAACUAUAUUAAAGGGUCACGGCACUAGGAAGAUUGGAGUUUUGUUUAAAAAAAAAAAGUGGUGUGUGUGUAGCAUUCAUAUACCUUUUUGGAAUAGUUUGCCUGUUACCGUGUGAUUGAAUUUCUAGACUGAUAGUCUAGGCAGCAGACACUUUUACAUAAUAUGCCGCUUCCCCAGCCCAGUUUAUUUUAUUUAUUUGGAGGGUAAUUUAUAUAAUUUCUGAAGUGCUGUAUUGCAAUACUAGGUGCUGUGGUAAAUUGCUUUAAAAAAUACAUUUCUCGUCUCAGAACAAGCUUGUGAUUCUGAUGUGACCCUCACUAACCCUGAGAAGGUAGAAAUUAGGUUCUACUUUGAAUUUGAAUAAAUGGUCAAUUUUUUUUCUCCAAAUGUUUGCUUGUUUGGGUGUUUUUUGUUUUGUUUUGUUUUGUUUUUUGAGAUGGGGUUUUUCAGUUUGCAGACCAGGCUGGCCUCUGCCUCCCAAGUGCUGGGAUUAAAGGUGUGCACCAUCACGCCUGGCUACUUUUUUGUUUGUCUUUUAAACUGUAAAUUCAUGCCAUGUAUGUCUGUGAAUUGAUGUAAAUUUUUAAGAAUUUUUUUAUUAAUUGGGUGUUUGCCUACAUGUUUAUUUGUAUACCACAUGUGUUCAGAGCUUUGGAGGCCAGAAGGGGUCUUUAAGACCAUACCUACUCCCCCUCUCUACCCUCUACUACCUGAGUUACAGACAACUGCUGGGGAUGAAACCUGGUCCUCUGGAUGAGCAGCCAGGGUUCUUAACCUGAGUCAUCUCUCCAGGCCCUGGUGUGAACAUUAACUAAAUCAGUGUGGGUAUAGGUGUUUACCUGGUCACCUUUUACUAUAAUAAAAUCGGGAAUUUUAAGUUUCAUUUAUUUGAAAUGUUACCUAUGAAGUGAAUGAGAUUCUUUCUUUCCACCAAAACAAACAAACG
rnacentral:lncRNA from 1 species